UGCAGUUGACGAUUCCCGAAUAGCUUGCUAUUGGGGAAGAGUGGCGAACGGGUGAGUAACACGUGAGUAAUCACCCCUCGAGUGAGGAAUAAUUCCGCGAAAGCGGGACUAAUACCGCAUAAUACUCUGGGGCAUAAGCCUUCAGAGUCAAAGCUUUUCGAGCAAUCGGAUGGCGCUUGGGGACGAGCUCGCGGCCUAUUAGCUAGUUGGUAGGGUAAUGGCCUACCAAGGCUUAUGAUGGGUAGCCGGCUUGGGAGGGUGUACGGCCACACUGGGACUGAGACACGGCCCAGACUCCUACGGGAGGCAGCAGUGGGGAAUUUUGCGCAAUGGGCGAAAGCCUGACACAGCGACGUCGCGUGGGGGAUGAAGGCCUUCGGGUUGUAAACCCCUUUUCUCAGGGAAGAAUAAUGACGGUACCUGAGGAAUAAGUCAUGGCUAACUACGUGCCAGCAGCCGCGGUAAUACGUAGGUGGCGAGCGUUAUCCGGAUUUAUUGGGCGUAAAGAGGGCGUAGGCGGUUCUUCAAGUCGGAUGUAAAAUCUCCUGGCUUAACUGGGAGGGCUCAUUCGAUACUGUUGGGCUAGAGGGCAGCAGAGGGAGGUGGAAUUCCCGGUGUAGUGGUGAAAUGCGUAAAUAUCGGGAGGAACACCAGUGGCGAAGGCGGCCUCCUGGGCUGUUGCUGACGCUGAGGCCCAAAAGCGUGGGGAGCAAACAGGAUUAGAUACCCUGGUAGUCCACGCCGUAAACUAUGGACACUAGGUAUGGGGAGUAUCGACCCUCUCUGUGCCGAAGCUAACGCUUUAAGUGCCCCGCCUGGGGAGUACGGUCGCAAGACUAAAACUCAAAAGAAUUGACGGGGGCCCGCACAAGCAGCGGAGCGUGUGGUUUAAUUCGAUGCAACGCGAAGAACCUUACCAAGGCUUGACAUGUCGGAAGUA
rnacentral:rRNA from 1 species